GUCUCCGUGGCACAACUGGUUAGCGCGUCAGACUGUUAGCAGCAAUCUGCUGAGUCAUCUGGAGGUUCACAGUUCGAUCCUGUGCGGGGACG
rnacentral:tRNA from 6 species